AAACAUUCCGCCUGGGGAGUACGGUCGCAAGAUUAAAACUCAAAGGAAUAGACGGGGACCCGCACAAGUGGUGGAGCAUGUGGUUUAAUUCGAAGAUACGCGAAGAACCUUACCUAGCCUUGACAUAUUUAAGAACUCCGUAGAGAUACAGAGGUGCCUUCGGGAGCUUUCUUACAGGUGCUGCACGGCUGUCGUCAGCUCGUGUCGUGAGAUGUUGGGUUAAGUCCCGCAACGAGCGCAACCCUCGUCACUAGUUACUAACGGCUCGGCCGAGGACUCUAGUGAGACUGCCUUCGUAAGGAGGAGGAAGGUGAGGACGACGUCAAGUCAUCAUGGCCCUUACGGCUAGGGCAGCACACGUGCUACAAUGGCCAGGACAGUGAGACGCAAUACCGCGAGGUGGAGCAAAUCUAUAAACCUGGUCUCAGUUCGGAUUGUUCUCUGCAACUCGAGAACAUGAAGCUGGAAUCACUAGUAAUCGUAGAUCAGCUAUGCUACGGUGAAUACGUUCCCGGGUCUUGUACUCACCGCCCGUCACACCAUGGGAGUUGAUUUCACCCGAAGCGGGGAAGCUAAACUGGCUACCCUCCACGGUGGAAUUAGCGACUGGGGUGAAGUCC
rnacentral:rRNA from 1 species